AAUUUUAACCUAUCAUUUUUUUAAUCAUUUAUCUUUUAUUUUAAUGUUACUAAAAUUUAUAAUGUAAUUAAAUAUAAAAAGCUUAAAUUAACAGAAAAACAACAUCGAAAAAAAUAUGUAAACAAUUCAGUAUAUAAACUAUAAGUAACGAAGUAUUAAACAUUUUAAAAAAAUAUUGAAAAAAUGCAAUUAAAAUAAAGAUUUGAGACUUCAUUAUUUUUUUCCUUUGAUUUUUGUAAGAAAUUUUUUAAAUUUCUAUUAAUUUAACAAAAUCUCCUAUAUUAAAAAAUAAAUUUUAUUUUUAAUAUCUAAAAUGAUUAAUUAUAAAGAAAUUAAAUUAUAAUAAGUGUGGAAGUUAUGAAGAAUGACAAAGAAGUUAGAGUGUAACUAAGAAUGAGGAAGAUAUUUUAAUCACGUAAAGAUUAUAUUUAUUUUUUUAUAAUGUUAAUCAAAUAUGCGGGAGAAGUUUGUUAAUACAAAAUUGAUAUUAUCCGUGUUUAAUGUCUGACGUAUUAUGUAAAAAUGCAAUUUAUUUUAGAAAAUAUAUUUUUUAAAAAAUAUUUCUCAAUUCUAAUAAAGCUAUUUUUAACAAAGAUAGUGUAAUAAAUAAUUUAUUUAAUUAUUUAGAAAUAUGCAUAAGCAUUUUAAAAAUAUCAAUCACAGGACUAAAUACAUUUUGCUUAUAUUUUAUGAUGAAGAUUCUGGGAGAAUGUAUAAUUAUAAGGAUUAUGAUUAUGAUUUUUGGAAACAUUAAUAUGACAACGUUAAAAUUUUUAAUUUACCAAAUAUAUCAUUAAAUUGGAGAAAUGAAUGUAUGUAUAAAAGAUUAUGCAAUUAUUUAUUUAUAAAUUAUAAUAUAUACUAAAUUGAUAGAUGUUUAGAAUAAUUAUAUUAAAGAUAUAUUUGUUAUGGUUCUCUUUCUGAAAAAUAUGGCGAAGAGAUAUUUUUGAUGCUAAAUCAAGAGUGCGCAUGAAAGAAGGAUUCAGAAUCUGAAUCAGGUAGGAAAGAGGAAGAGAUCCAGAAGGUUGCACCCAUUUUAGUAGUUAAGGUGGAUCCAUGCUUUUCGUUUUAUUCUAAUCUUUUUCCCUUCAACCUUUUGCAUCUCUUUUUUUCUUAUCACCUCUUCUAUUAUUUAUUUUUCUAAAUUUCCGUAGAAUCGCGUUUCCGUUUGCACGACGGCAGAACCCUAAACUCAAAGCCAAGAAGUGAGUCUUCACUUUUUUUCCUCAACUAGAUAAUGAAUAACUGUUUUUUUGCUUUCUCUAUUUUUUUUUUUAGAAUUUUAUUUUGUGGUUUUGGUUUUGUUUCAAUGCCUGUGAUUUGAGGUUGUGUUGCAUGCAUCCGUGGUGAUUACUUUCGGUUGUUUUGGUGGCUCUCAGUGCGGAUUAUUUUGGAAUUCAAUUUUAAUGUGGUUUAGGUGAACCCUCCUUGUUGUUUUGUUGCUGCAAAUUAUUUUUUUUUGUCGGGUUCUUAAAGGUUCUAUUCCGUCUCAGAACAUGAUGCUAGUACAGUUGUACAUGAAAUUCAGUCCCCAAAUCAAUCGAAUGCUUUGUGGUUUCUUGCAUUGUUUAUCUAUCUAUGUUCAUAUGAGAGUCUGAGUGCUUCCAUGCAGAUGUAGUUAUACUCAGUUCUUGGUGGCGCAGUUUACUGUUAUUGUGCUGACUUAUGAAACCCACCAUUUAAUAGUCUUGCUCUUUGCUGACUUGAUUAUUUUGGAAAAAAGUUGUGCUCCAAGAAUUGUAAGGCUGUCCGGGUUUUCCUCCCCUCUUCUGUAUUGAUAUUCUUUGUAUUGUGAAAUGAGGUCUUGGUCUUCUGCUGGUUGCUCUGCUGUGCUUGGUGUAGAUUUGUGUUUCAUGUUAAUUUGAAUUUUUGGAUUAUAUUUGAGAUUCACUGACUUUGUUGCUUACUUAACGGGUGUGUUGCAUACUUUUGUGAAUAAUGAUUUGAAAUGGAAUUGAUGUUUAUGAUUGAUGAGUAUGCAUUUUCCUGCACUUGUGAAACUAUUUGUUCAGUCCCUACUCGGAGUGUGAAUGUAAAACUCUUUGGGGCUUGUCAUUUAAUGAAACAUCACUGAACGUCUGCCUGAAUUAAAGCUUGUCUCGCUUGAAGUUUUCAUUCUUUCUGAGUUUGUUCAUUUUGGCAAUCAAUGGGNAAAUGUUGCUAUUGUAAGUUAUAAGUUGCUUGCAUUUAAUUAUUUGUUUUCUAGUGAAAUUCUUCAGUCCUUGGUUUUAAAUCUGUUUCUGCUAUGCUAGUUCAUUUAAAUUAGUCAGUCUUAGUAACAUUUUCAUGUUUCAAUCACGGAAUUUCAAAAAUUCUGUAUAUAAAAUAUAUUUAGCUAAAUUUAUUAGUCAGUCGUAUCACCCUAAUUAUUACCAUACCAAUGCAUCAAUGCCCUUAUAUUUGUGAUCAUGGAUUGUUACAUCAUAAAGCGGUUAAUUUUAUAAGUAGUUGAGCAGGGAUUGAAAUUGUAAUAAGGCUUUCUGAUUUUACGGAUUCUUAUGUUCUGACCUAUACCUAAUGUGUCUUUCUCUAGUAGGAGUUUCAUUUUGUGCCUUACAGUUUCACAGUCGUACUCAUUUGCUCACCUCAAGUGAAAAAGGUUUUAGGCAGAUUGAGAAUNNNNNNNNNNNNNNNNNNNNNNNNNNNNNNNNNNNNNNNNNNNNNNNNNNNNNNNNNNNNNNNNNNNNNNAUUUAUACUGAAAUCAUUUACUCUCUUUCUCAUUCAAAGAAAUGCAUUUAUUGAAAAAGUGAGCCUAGGUCACUAAAAUUGUUUUAAUAAGUGGUAUAGCUCUUCUUCUUAAUCUGUCUUAAAAAACUUUAACCAACAAUCAAUGUGAAACGAAGGGAGUAUUCAUGGUGAACUUCCUCUGUCUUCUUGACCUGUAGCAUGUAGGCUCUUCUGUGCCUGCAUUCUCCAUUUCCCUAACAUCUUCUCGAGCUUCCAUAUUCUUGUGUUCACCAUCCAAAGCCCCCAUUUGAAGAGGGGGAUUUUACUGUAGGGUUUAUGAGCUCUUGAUUAUCUCUCAAACAACACCUAACUUUUGAUGUGUACUUUUCUUAAGGUUCUUAUCAGUUUACAUUGACCCGGGGUUUGAUGUUUUCUAUUGCCUAUAGUUGAACAUAGAGACGCAAGUAUCUUUUCAAUGCAAAAGGAAUAUACAUUUUUUUUCCUAUUCAUAGUCCAAAGGGGAAUAUUCAUACUGUAUGCGUCAAAUUUAUCCUUCAGUUUCUUAUUGUUGCUUUUUUCUUCUUUUCAAUAAUGUUUUCCCUGCCGCAUAGUGAUUUGAAAUAUGUAUUGUUUUGAAAAUUUUUACAUCCUUGGUCGAAUUCUUCCAAAUAAUUCUUCUAAUUUAAGAAGAUAUUAAAAGUUUGUUUCCAAAAUAUUGAAUACUUUUGUUUUCAUUUAGUACUUUAUCUAUAAAAUAUUAGGAGGGUUUGUAGAAAAAGGAUGUGUUAUGAGGAUAUAAGCACUGCUCAAUUCUUUAAACACCGUUGGUUGAGGUCUACUUAUUUUACUAUUUUUUUUCUACCAGCGUCUAUGUUGAUAUAGUUGUUCCACGAUUUUACUCAAUUGGCUCUGCCCAUAGGAGAAUUGUGCCACAAUUUUACUCAAUUGACUCUACCCAUAUAUGGGAUUGUAUCUAACUGUUUUAUUGAAAUAAUUACAUUUCAUUCUCUCAAAAUAGUCUUAUUUGACUUUGAUUUUUUACUUAGACUACUAAAUUUUUGCCUAUGUAUUAAAAACUAAGCAUAGACAUAGAAACAUAGAUCAUGUGGGCUACUGAAAAAAUUAAAGAAUUUCAUUGGGAGCUCUAAUUGAUUUAUAACUCCAUUGCAACUAAUAUAGGUCAUAUAUGUGAAAUUGGAUAGUGGUUGAUGCAGCUCAGCGUGGUAUCAAUAAACCUUACUGUUUAGAUACUUAUUCUACUGCUGGAGUAGUGUCCCGUGGAAUCAAAUUAUCCCAGAUGAACUGUAAAAAUUUAUUGAUAUUUGAUAUGUUUACUUGCUGGUGUUUAAUGCUUGGAAGAGUUAUUUUUUUCUCCAACUCAAGAAAUGAUAUAUUUUUGUAUCGUAGAUGGAAGCACAAAGCUCUCAGCAAACGCAAGUUAUUGAGAUCAGUGGAGAUUUUCCUGAUGGUGGAAGAAAGAUUUGUGGGGAAGCACCAUGUGGGUUUGCAGAUGCCGAAUCCAUCUCCAAGGAUUCUGAAGAAAGAUCAACUUCUAUGCGAAAGCUCCUUAUGGCAGUGAUCCUUUGUGUUAUUUUUAUGACUGUUGAAGUGGUUGGUGGCAUCAAAGCUAACAGCCUUGCUAUACUGACUGAUGCAGCACAUUUGCUUUCUGAUGUUGCAGCCUUUGCCAUCUCCUUAUUUUCUUUGUGGGCUGCUGGAUGGGAAGCUACACCUCGCCAGUCAUAUGGAUUUUUCCGAAUAGAAAUUCUUGGUGCCUUGGUUUCUAUCCAAUUAAUAUGGUUGCUUGCGGGUAUACUGGUAUAUGAAGCCAUUGAUAGAAUCAUUGCCGGUCCUAAAAGUGUGGAUGGUUUCUUAAUGUUUUUAGUUUCCGCAUUUGGUCUCGUGGUUAAUAUCAUCAUGGCUUUGUUAUUGGGUCAUGAUCAUGGCCAUGGACAUGGUGGUCAUGGUCAUGGUCAUGGACAUGAUGGUCACAGACAUGGACAUGGACAUGGCCACAGUCAUGGAUUUACAGUUUCUACCCAUCAUGAUGCAAAACAUGCAAAAGAUGAGCACCAUCACACACAUGAUCACUCAGACCAUCACGAUGAUCAUCAUUCAAAAGAUGAGCACCAUCAUGAUCACCAAGAGCUUACUCAAUCUCUUCUCGAUGAAUCAAAAGCUAAGAAGAAGAAGCAAUGGAACAUAAAUGUACAGGGGGCUUAUCUCCAUGUCCUUGGAGAUUCUAUCCAAAGUAUUGGAGUAAUGAUUGGGGGAGCGGUAAUAUGGUAUAAACCUGAGUGGCAAAUAGUUGAUUUAAUUUGCACUCUAAUAUUUUCAGUAAUAGUUUUGGUGACAACCAUCAAUAUGCUGAGAAAUAUUUUGGAAGUCCUGAUGGAGAGCACACCUCGUGAGAUAGAUGCUACUAAGUUAGAAAGGGGUUUGUUAGAUAUGGAAGACGUGGUGGCUGUUCAUGAACUACAUAUAUGGGCCAUUACAGUCGGAAAGGUUUUACUAGCUUGUCAUGUUAAAAUUAGACGUGAAGCAGAUGCAGAUGUGGUGCUGGACAAGGUUAUAGACUAUAUCAAACGGGUCUAUAACAUUAGUCAUGUAACCAUACAGAUAGAGCGCUAGAUUUCAUCUUUUAUUGAAUAUUUCAUGAUAGUGAAACAUUAGAGGGGAAUGAUUUAGUAAUUGGACUUGGAGAAUUAUGCUUCUGAAACUCAAAUUUCUCUAUGGCAAUAAUACUUUCUUUUAUUCUUCUUUCUAACUCUUACAUAUUUUCAUGUCAAUUAUUUAUAUCUCUGUCAUUAUUGCCAAAUGCUUUAUUGUUCUUUUUCCUACAUAAAUCAUGUGAAAUUUGUGAAGUAGUUUGAAACUUUAUUUGCUAUUAUCUAAUCCCGUGCCAAACAGAUGAGCCACUAUUAUUGUGUUUUGGAGUGUAUUACCGACAAUAGUUGUGCUUCAGAGACAUGAGACUGUAAAACUUCUCAGCUGUCUGUUUUACUGGUAGCAGUAUCAUUUGGUUUUGUUGGUUGGUACUAAAUUUAUUGCCAAGCGAAACUCUUUCAACACACGACUUUGCUUUACUACUAUCCGAUUGUACACGUUACCAAACACAAAAUGCAGAAAAAGCAUGUGUGUGGAAUCAUAGGUUCUAUUCCCUCAAAACACGCACACGGUAUUUUGAUGAAUCACCAAGUUUUAGGUUAUAUAGUGUCCUAGGUGAACGACGACAAAACUCUGUAGUCAACGUCUGACUGAAUAAGAGUUAAAAUAAAUUCAUAGUUUUGCACGUAUGAUUG
rnacentral:lncRNA from 1 species